rnacentral:rRNA from 1 species
GACGAACGCUGGCGGCGUGCUUAACACAUGCAAGUCGAACGGUGAAGCUCCAGCUUGCUGGAUUGGAUCAGUGGCGAACGGGUGAGUAACACGUGACCAACCUGCCCCUGACUCUGGAAUAAGCGCUGGAAACGGCGUCUAAUACUGGAUACGAGAACUGUCCGCAUGGGCACUUUCUGGAACGUUUUUCGGUUGGGGAUGGGCUCGGGGCCUAUCAGUUUGUUGGUGAGGUACUGGCUCACCAAGGCGACGACGGGUAGCCGGCCUGAGGGGGCGACCGGCAAAACUGGGACUGGGACAGGGCCCGGACUCCUAGGGGGGGAAGAGGGGGGGAAUAUUGAAAAAGGGGCGAAGGCCUGAUGAAGAGACGCGGCGUGGGGGAUGAAGGCUUUGGGGUGGUAAACGUCUUUCGCCAGGGAAGAAGCGAUAGUGACGGUACCUGCAGAAGAAGCACCGGCUAACUACGUG